CCACUGCGCAUGCGCAGUUCAGUUCCCAAUUAAUCCAGCUGCUAAUGGCGUCCUUCUCUUUCUUCCUCCAUUACUGCUAGUCUAUUCUUUGGCCGUUUGGUCCUUAGAUAUUCACUGAAGUCUUUUGAAAAUUAUCUCAUUUUGGAGGCCCGCUUCCUUUUCAGCUGGUGUUUUAGUGUUUUCCUUCUCCCUCACUGGGCUAUGAUUUCAGUCUAGACUGAUUGAGUAAGACUUGAUGUUGUUAUAAAACUCUCAUAAGACGGCAUGCUAAUAAUUGAUUGACAAAUUCUCUCACUUUCUGCUCUCUCUCUCUCUCUCCUUUCCUCUAAGACUACCAAUGGGUUAUGUUCAAAAUGAAUUGUGUCCAUACAAGACUUGCUUCCUAACUUUGUGUUGACAUCAAUAGGUUUUAACUUCUUUUCAAGUGAAUUGUGUCUGAGUUUGUCAUUUAA